rnacentral:misc_RNA from 1 species
UAAUAAGUGUUUUAUGGCACUUUUUAAAUCCAUAUCCACCUUGUGUGCAAUGUCAGUCGAUCUUCUCUUUAUGGAGAUCGACCAAACAUCAACCUUUAUUUUUUAACUCUUUGUCUGAAAAAUAUUAUGAAUAAACAAUUCAAAAUA